UUCGAUUGAGUUUGAUCCUGGCUCAGGACGAACGCUGGCGGCGUGCCUAACACAUGCAAGUGGAGCGACGAACCAGGCUUCGGCCUGGGGCAAAGCCGCGAACGGGUGAGUAACACGUGGGUAACCUGCCCCGAUGACCGGGACAACCCGAGGAAACUCGAGCUAAUACCGGAUGUGCCCUGCGAUCGCAAGGNCGGUGGGGAAAGGAAGCUUCGGCCUCCGCAUCGGGAUGGGCCCGCGGCCCAUUAGCUUGUUGGUGAGGUAACGGCUCACCAAGGCGACGAUGGGUAGCUGGUCUGAGAGGANGAUCAGCCACACUGGGACUGAGACACGGCCCAGACUCCUACGGGAGGCAGCAGUGGGGAAUCUUGCGCAAUGCGCGAAAGCGUGACGCAGCAACGCCGCGUGGGGGAAGACGGCCUUCGGGUUGUAAACCCCUUUCAGUUGGGACGAAGCUCCGUCGGUGAAUAGCCGAUUGGAGUGACGGUACCUUCAGAAGAAGCCCCGGCUAACUACGUGCCA
rnacentral:rRNA from 1 species